rnacentral:rRNA from 1 species
GAUGGCGAGCCUGAUCCAGCCAUGCCGCGUGUGUGAAGAAGGUCUUCGGAUUGUAAAGCACUUUAAGUUGGGAGGAAGGGUUGUAGAUUAAUACUCUGCAAUUUUGACGUUACCGACAGAAUAAGCACCGGCUAACUCUGUGCCAGCAGCCGCGGUAAUAA